rnacentral:pre_miRNA from 1 species
AACAUUCAUUGUUGUCGGUGGGUUGUGAGGACGGCAGACCCGCCGGGAGAUGAAUGUCA